rnacentral:rRNA from 1 species
CUUCCUACGGGAGGCAGCAGUAGGGAAUAUUGCUCAAUGGGGGAAACCCUGAAGCAGCAACGCCGCGUGGAGGAUGAAGGUUUUAGGAUUGUAAACUCCUUUUGUUAGAGAAGAUUAUGACGGUAUCUAACGAAUAAGCACCGGCUAACUCCGUGCCAGCAGCCGCGGUAAUACGGAGGGUGCAAGCGUUACUCGGAAUUACUGGGCGUAAAGCGCUCGUAGGCGGUAUGUCAAGUGAAGGGUGAAAUCCCCGCGCUCAACGUGGGAACGGCCUUUGAAACUGGCAAACUGGAGUGUGUGAGCGG